GUUGGCAGUAAGGAGAAAAAGAUCUACCAGGCAAGUGCCUGCAAGUCAUAGUACCUCAGGGAUUCCAAUCAACAUUUGCUUGCUGGUGAGUGGUUCUACUUCAAGUUAAGAAACAAAUUCUCAUGGCAAACUGCUUGGAUACUGUUUCCCAAAAGUUAGAAGAACCAAGCCUGCAAGGUGGCAUGGAUUCCUCCGGAAGGACUCCACCCAACUUUGGUCUCAGCAGAUUACAUCAUGUUCACCGCCCAAAGACUAAUUAAUUAUUAAGACCAAAAAACCCAAAAAACCAAAAAUUGGAAAAUGACUAGUGUUGGUGAGGAUGUGGAGAAAGUGGAACCCUCGUGCCUUGCCAGUGGAAAUAUAAAAUGAUGCAGCUGCUGUGGAAAGCAGAGUGGUGGUUCAAAAAGCUGGACAAAGCUCUCCUUGAAGACAGGACCAUGUCUUAUUCAACUUUGUAAUCCCAGGACCUGGCACAAAAGCUGGCACCUAUUCAGUGCCUUGGUUCUUUGAGUGUGGCCCUGGACCAGAAGCAUCAACAUCAACCAGGAACUUACUAGAAAUGCACUUUCUUGGGUGCCCCACAAGACCUGCUGAAUCAGAAACUCUGGGGAUGUAGUUCAACACCUGUGCGCUGACAAGCCCUCCAGGUGAUCCGGAUACAUGCUCACGUUUGAGAACCGUGGCUUUACGGGAGAAAACAGUCAUGAUUGCUUACAACAGAAUACCAUAAAUUGCUUUUUGAAAAGCAGUGCAAUAUAUGGGCAUACUAAAAUUGAAGCAUGACAGAUAAAUAUGACAUCAGGAUGUCAUCCAAUGAAAAAUAGAUUUUUUAUUCUGUGUCCUGGACACGGCAUUGCUGAUUUUUAUUUAUCCACCUUUCUCCUGCCUGAGGGAAAACAAGUAUUUAAAAUGCAUUGCUAUUUGCAUUGAAGAGCUUGUCUGCUCCCUGAAGCCUCAAGAUCAUUCCUCAAAGACACGGAGUGCUGAUUGGGACAUCCCGCAGGUUAAAGUGAGUUUCGGACUCGAUGGUUCUGCACAGCAAAGCUGGGCCGUGUCCCACUUCAACCUCACUUUAUGGGAUUCAGGGAUUUACGGCACAUUUUGAAGAUGAGUGAUUAGAAGAUAAAGACUGGAGAAGUUUGCUCCUUGGUGACUGAGCUCUACCAUGAGUGUCCUCUUUGCUUGAGCAAGUCUCUUAAUCAUCCAGCAUUCCUGGUGUCACAGUACCG
rnacentral:lncRNA from 1 species